UUAAGUUCAGCGGGUAGUCCUACCUGAUUUGAGGUCAGAUUUCAAAAUACAUUGACCGCCACUCCAGAGGCAAGGUCGUGGGAGGACACAAGAGGGGAACUUCUCAGUCGAGCGAGGAUGGUACAACGCCCAGUCGAGUCCGACCCGCAGGUCCAACCGAUGCAUUUGAGGGGAGCCGCCUCACGGCAGCAUGCCCCCAA
rnacentral:misc_RNA from 1 species